GACGGAGGAUGCAAGCGUUAUCCGGAAUUAUUGGGCGUAAAGCGUCCGCAGGUGGUGUUUCAAGUCUGCUGUCAAAGACCGGGGCUUAACUUCGGAAAGGCAGUGGAAACUGAACAGCUAGAGUAUGGUAGGGGCAGAGGGAAUUCCUGGUGUAGCGGUGAAAUGCGUAGAGAUCAGGAAGAACAUCGGUGGCGAAGGCGCUCUGCUGGACCAUAACUGACACUCAGGGACGAAAGCUAGGGGAGCGAAUGGG
rnacentral:rRNA from 1 species